UUUUUUGCGAUAACACGCAAUCAAUACAACUUUCAACAACGGAUCUCUUGGCUCUCGCAUCGAUGAAGAACGCAGCGAAAUGCGAUACGUAAUGUGAAUUGCAGAAUUCAGUGAAUCAUCGAAUCUUUGAACGCACCUUGCGCCCCUUGGUAUUCCGAGGGGCACACCCGUUUGAGUGUCGUGAAAAUCUCAACCUUCUCGGUUUCUUCUGGAAACCAAAGGAGGCUUGGACUUUGGAGGCCUUUGCUGGCGUCUCUCUCUUUUGAGAGCCCAGCUCCUCUUAAAUGAAUUAGCGGGGUCCUCUUUGCUGGUCCUCGACAUGUGAUAAGAUGUUUCCAUGUCUUGGUUUCUGGCUCUGUUGCUUUUGGGACCCGCUUCUAACCGUCUCGACGAGACAACGUUUGAGCACGUCUCCCGACGCUCUCAACC
rnacentral:rRNA from 1 species